rnacentral:rRNA from 1 species
GACGAACGCUGGCGGCGCGCCUAACACAUGCAAGUCGAACGGAGUUUCCCCUUCGGGGGGAGCUUAGUGGCGGACGGGUGAGUAACACGUGAGGAACCUGCCUUUGAGAGCGGGAUACCGUCUGGAAACGGACGUUAAUACCGCAUAAUGCAGCGAGGCCACAUGGCCAUGCUGCCAAAGAUUUAUCGCUCAAAGAUGGCCUCGCGCCUGAUUAGAUAGUUGGCGGGGUAACGGCCCACCAAGUCUGCGAUCAGUAGCCGGACUGAGAGGUCGAACGGCCACAUUGGGACUGAGAUACGGCCCAGACUCCUACGGGAGGCAGCAGUGGGGGAUAUUGCACAAUGGGCGAAAGCCUGAUGCAGCGACGCCGCGUGAGGGAAGACGGUUUUCGGAUUGUAAACCUCUGUCUUCGGGGACGAAACAAGACGGUACCCGAGGAGGAAGCCACGGCUAAACUACGUG